rnacentral:rRNA from 1 species
UACGUAGGGGGCAAGCGUUGUCCGGAUUUAUUGGGCGUAAAGCGCGUGUAGGUGGCCAAGUAGGUCCGCUGUGAAAACUUGAGGCUCAACCUCAGCUGUCGGUGGAAACCCCUUGGCUAGAGUCCGGAAGAGGAGAGUGGAAUUCCUGGUGGUAGCGGUGGAAAUGACGCAGAUAUCAGGAAGAACACCAAUGGCGAAGGCAGCUCUCUGGGACGGUACUGACACUGGAGACGCGGAAAGC